CCUACGGGACGCAGCAGUAGGGAAUCUUCCACAAUGGGCGAAAGCCUGAUGGAGCAACUCCUCUUUUUUUCCUCCUUUCUUCGGAUCGUAAAACCCUGUUGUUAGAGAAGAAAGUGCGUGAGAGUAACUGUUCACGUUUCGACGGUAUCUAACCAGAAAGCCACGGCUAACUACGUGCCAGCAGCCGCGGUAAUACGUAGGUGGCAAGCGUUAUCCGGAUUUAUUGGGCGUAAAGGGAACGCAGGCGGUCUUUUAAGUCUGAUGUGAAAGCCUUCGGGUUAACCG
rnacentral:rRNA from 1 species